UACGGAGGGUGCAAGCGUUAUCCGGAUUUACUGGGUUUAAAGGGUGCGCAGGCGGAUAUGUAAGUCAGUGGUGAAAUCUCUAGGCUUAACCUGGAAAUUGCCGUUGAUACUAUAUAUCUUGAAUGCUGUGGAGGUAAGCAGAAUAUGUCAUGUAGCGGUGAAAUGCAUAGAUAUGUCACAGAACACCGAUUGCGAAGGCAGCUUAUUAAAGUGUGAUUGACGCUGAGGCACGAAAGCGUGGGGAUCAAACAGG
rnacentral:rRNA from 1 species